rnacentral:rRNA from 16 species
CUGACAUGCGUGCGAGUCGACGGGUUUUGAAACCUGGGAUGCGCAAGGAAGCUGACGAGCGGGAGGCCCUCACGGGCCGCACCGCUGGCCGACCCUGAUCUUCUGUGAAGGGUUCGAGUUGGAGCACGCCUGUCGGGACCCGAAAGAUGGUGAACUAUGCCUGAGCGGGGCGAAGCCAGAGGAAACUCUGGUGGAGGCUCGAAGCGAUACUGACGUGCAAAUCGUUCGUCUGACUUGGGGAUAGGGGCGAAAGACUAAUCGAACCAUCUAGUAGCUGG